rnacentral:rRNA from 1 species
CACGUAGGGGGCGAGCGUUGUCCGGAAUCAUUGGGCGUAAAGAGCUCGUAGGCGGCUCAGUAAGUCGGGUGUGAAACCCCCAGGCUCAACCUGGGGACGCCACCCGAUACUGCUGUGGCUAGAGUCCAGUAGGGGAGUGUGGAAUUCCCGGUGUAGCGGUGAAAUGCGCAGAUAUCUGGAGGAACACCGGUGGCGAAGGCGGCAUUCUGGACCGAAACUGACGCUGAGGCGCGAAAGCCAGGGGAGCAAACGGG